rnacentral:rRNA from 1 species
CGCAUCUGUGCAUGCAGCAUAUCAAUAAGCGGAGGAAAAGAAACUAACAAGGAUUCCCCUAGUAACGGCGAGUGAAGCGGGAAGAGCUCAAAUUUGAAAUCUUAAAGGGUUUCCCUUUACGAAUUGUAGUUUAAAGAAGUGUUUUCUGUUGAGGUUUUGGUAAAAGUUCUUUGGAAUAGGACAUCAUAGAGGGUGAGAAUCCCGUAUUUGACCUUUACUUUCAACUUUGUGAUACACUUUCAAAGAGUCGGAUUGUUUGGGAAUGCAGUCCAAAGUGGGUGGUAAAUUUCAUCUAAAGCUAAAUAUUGGCGAGAGACCGAUAGCGAACAAGUACCAGUGAGGGAAAGAUGAAAAGAACUUUGAAAAGAGAGUUAAACAGUACGUGAAAUUGUCAAAAGGGAAGCGUUUGACACCAGUGUUGUUUUUCUGAAAAUCAAUUAAAGAACUGUUUAUGCUAAGUUGUUUAGACUUUAUCAGCUAACUGUUUAGUUUUGAGCUUUUCUUUAAUACAUUUUCAGUUAACAAGUCAACAUCAAUUUCUUUUGCUGUAAAAAAGCUUGAGGAAGGUGGCUUGAGAUUCGUCUUAAGUGUUUAUAGCCUCUUGCCUAUGCAGUCGGAGAGAUUGAGGUCUGCAGCGUAGAUCCUUCGGGGCUAAAUGCAUUUGUGCUAAGUUAUAGCAUUUUAUAGACAACUUGUUGACUAUGAUUUGUCUUGUAGCUUACUCGCUUAUGUUAUUUUACCUACGCUUAGGAUGUUGAAUCUGUGCGAGACUAC